GCUCAGUCCUGGAAACCUCCCUUUCCAAGUGUAACCCAUCUGCCAGAAUUCAACUGGCAACAACAAGGGCUGCACUCUAACUCAACAGAAUGAGCCAGAAACCCGGAAAAGAUUUACUACUUGGCAGUUUUAUUUCUUGCCCACAUCAAAAUGCAAGAGGCCUGUUCCAUCCAUCAGGACCAUGGCAUGCAAAGGAGGCGUUAUCAAAAUGCAUCUUGCAUCCUGGCAUGGAAAACUUGGUGUCAGUAGAGAUAUUUAUCAAGUGUACAGAAACACAAAGUUUCCAUAUUAACAGAUACUGUAUCAAAUAAAUGAAUAAAAAUAAUAAUGAAUGACAGCAAUGAAAUCAUUGCUAUAUACUGAAACAUAGCAGCAGCAAGCCAGUGCCACUUGACUGUGAGAAUAACCUGAGAAAGACCCCCUGGGGGUACAAAUAGGAUUACCACACGACAGAAGGAUGAUAAUAAGCAUCAUGCCUCUUGCCCAAAACAAGCCUUUCUUCUGAAAAGACAGGAGAACAAGAUCUGCCUGAAGCAAAAUGUGAUUCAAGGGAAAUACGAUACCGAAGAGCAAAUUAAAUGCAGAAAACAAACCACUGAAGGCUGUUUGUUGGGAUCUCAUGACCUUCCAGGCCUUCGGCAGAGCAAAACAAACUGCUGGAUGCACCAGAGUAGAGAGGUAAUUUACAAGCUGGAGAGUGUGGAUCAGCUUUCUCAGGCCACCUUCUCAUGAAGGUUGCAUCUUUAUUUGCAGCCUAGCUAUGCUGAAGGAGAGAGAUUAGCAGGAGAGGCUGGAGUGAUGGUUAUUGAGUCUGUGACCUGAUGCCUUUUUAAGAUCCAAGGAAAGAGAUGCACAGGUUCCUGGAGAGGUUUGGUCUGUCUCCACACUGAUCCCUGUGGCAGGCCUGGUGCAGGGCCUUGAACAUGGUAACGAGAUUUGUGGGAAUCAGACUUUUAUGAAGACUGCUCACUGUUACCAUUUAAUCACCUCAGUGAUAGCUGCUCAUGGUGACGUAGCUCAGAGCUUAUGUAAAAAAGCAUCAGAGUUGAGGACUUGGGAGCUAGUGGUGCUUUUCGUGGGCUGAUGGGCUUUGAAAGGCAAUGGCUCUCCUUUUGCCCAGUUAAAAGUCAGAGGAAUGAGAGUGGUGCUAUUGUCCUUUGUGGUUAUAAAGAUUUCAUUCUGACUCCUCCAGCCAGGCAUCUCCCUUCCCCAUGCUAAUCAACCCUUUCUCUCAUGAUAAGACCACCUCAGGACAGUCUGACUGUACACCAGGAAUGAAGGAAUGAAGGCCAGAAAGAGAGCACAAAAACAUACAGCAGAAUCAUGGAGAAAUGUUUUUCAAGGGGACAAUCUUGAUGAUGAAGGAAACCUCCAGACCAUAAAAAAGCUUGCUUGGUGAUGAAAUAGGAAGGGAAAAACUUUUUCCUCUGGAUGUUCCUGGCUGCCAGCUAAACUCUCUGGUCAUCCUAAAGAAAAGAAGUCUUUACCUCAAAGCACAAGGUACCUCCUGGGGACAACAGUUAUUCAUCUGACCUCAACAGGCCCCCAAAGGCAGCUCAAAGCUCAGGAAGUUACAUCCUCCUGCUCCUUGCUGUGGAGGACAACAUGGAACACUCGUGUUGGAAUCAGAAGUUAAUAUCUUAAGGGUAAAACCCCCACCCUCCUCUGUGUUCCCUGUUGCUGUGUGCAAAGCCCUCUUUUGUCUUCAGGCCCACAAAACAAUCUGCUCUCUUCAGCUUCACCUGACAGGUCAGGCAGUAAAAUACAGGAUUUAGGUUGUUGCAUUUAGGUUAGAAAACUGACUUUAAAUGGAGCCUCAUACUUUAUAACUCAGUGUUUAUGAGUGCCUGCUCUGAGAGGCUGAAGAGAAGCAUCACAUUUUCUUUCCUCAGUUGACUGAAUUGGGUGUCACUAAUUUCCAUCUCCUGAAAGCAGGCAAGAACAAAAUGACUGAUAUAUACAGGAGCCCCCCUCACCCCCUCAAGGGAGUAAAUGCCAAAAUAACUCAUCUGAAGAGCUCCCCUUCACUGGAAUGCCACCUAAUGCUAACCAUGAUACCAGAGUUAAUUGCAGCAGUCAGCCGCUGCAUUUCAUCUACAAGUCCCGCUCAGUUUAAUUAACCUUUGGGGAAUUAGCAUUUUGUUGACUUACAGUACCUGCUUUGAAUUUCUGGCAGUGUUAGAGAAACACUGUGACUUGUUUCACUCAGAGAAGAGUGAUUGCCCAAAGGCAAUGCCUUUUAAAGAAUGGUCCCUGGGCAGCAGCAGGCUGAUCUUGAGUCAGAAGAGUCUGGAAAGAAAGAGCCCAAUACAUCUCCUGCCACCUGACUCAUGCCCCACUGUUCUGGAAUUACUCAUGCACCCCCACCAUGGGGUCAGGUGUAAAUUUCUUACUCCUCCCAGAGUCUCCUGAGCAUUUUUCAUACUUGUUCAUCACUUUGUGUUUACAGUAAUUUCCAAGCACCUCCUUCCAGCUGGCAGUGUUCUGCCUCCAUUUACCAAAUAACAUCCAUGUUCUGCCUUUGAAAAAUCACCAGGUGACCACCUUCAGGUUGCAGGAAAUGAUGUCCAUCCCAGGAGAGAGCAACCUACUGGACACAUCCAUAUGUGCUCUGCCCUGGCACAGUGAGCUGUUGGUAGCUCCAAGGAAGUGUUGUCUGGCCAGGAAAGAGAGCUGCGUUUGGUUAAGCAAUGUAUGUCUUGGGGCCUGCAGCUAUCUAAGAACCAGCUUGACCUUGGAAAAGGUGUUGGUCAGGUGUUGGUCCUUAAAUCAGGCUGACAGGAUUAUGUCCAUCAAAGGAUGUGUUUCCAGCCUCUCUGAAGAGAGCUGUACUCCCACCUCCUACCAUGUGUCACCUUUUUGACUUACACUUGUUCUGUGGCUUUUUCCCCCAUUGUUUAUCUCUGGGCGACAUCUGAGGAACCACUGCAAGGGGCAUGAGAUGAGAUUAUUGCAGGUGGCCAGAGGGAAUGACAGCCGUGAGAGCUGUGGCUAGUCGGGCUGGUGCUUCGGCUGGAAGGGAGUGAUGCAACUUGGGGUACCGAGAAGGGACGUUGUGUUGAUACUGAGUCACCCACCCAGAACUGUUUAACAGACCUGUGGAUGUGGUGCUUUAAUAGUUAGACUUGAUGAUCUUAGAGGUCUUCACCAAAUUUAAUGAUUCUACUGUUCAGUGAUGUGGUACUGGUUAGUUGCAGGCUGAGGAUACAGGAUGCAAGAGGUCUCUGAAUGCUGCUGAGUGGUGUCCACACUGGCAUGACUGACAACCUCAAUAUCUUGCUGCCACUUACUAUUUGUCUUGCUUUUACCUGUUUUUACCUUGUUUUUACCUUGAUUCAGCCACCACAGCCAUAUCUGAGAGGAGAGAGCAGCUGGCCAAUGUGUUUGUCCCAGAAGAUGGGGGAGCCUAGCCCAGCCUUGCCAGCAUGUGCGCAGUUCCAGCAAGGGAAGUGGGCCUGGCCUCACCAGGAGCAGCCUGUUCCUCCCAGGACUGACUUAACCAGCCUUAUACCAUGAACUGACCUCCUACUGUUCUCCAUGUCAAAUGGAUCCCAAGUUUCUCACCUGGGGAUUAAACACUGCCUGUCUGAAAGUCUCCUUCUUCCAACAAGGGAGGACAUCUUUAGGGCAGCAGCACACAAUGCACUCGCAGCAACUCCCUCUGCAGCAGGUCUGACCCUGGCCUCCUACCAUCCACUCCGUGCUUGGCUUUCUCCCCUGUCUUUGGAGAGUGCUGAGAAGAGAGGAAAAUCAAUGAGGUUUUGUGAAAUAACUGUGGAUUGUGCUCUGGGCAGAGAACUGAGAAAGCACAUUACAGAUAUUCUGGAGUGACAGGAUUCAUGCAACAUUUGAGCUUCUGCCAUAAGCUCUCAAAUUAAUGUGCUUUCAUCUUUACCUCUGAUAUGGGGAACUUUAUGUGAUCUACUGUAAAAACUGUUUUCUGUGAAAAGGAGAAGAAGGGUAUCAUCUGUGAGAAAUGGGAAGUACUGGUUUUCCCAUAAUCACUUUUCUUUCCCUACCAGAGAUCUAUAAACUUCUUACUCAGAGGUCUGACCAUGGUUUAAGAGCACAAAUAAGAAACACAAGAGACAAAAUAUAAAAAAGAUGGACGUAGGCUGUUGGGAAAGCUGAUGCACAGGCAUCCAAAUAUUGUCCUGUUAAUUUUGCAGUCACUUCAGAAGACAACAUAACAUUUACAUCCUUUGCAGAAAAAAAAAAAAAAAAAAAAGAAGAAAAAAAG